CCAUGUUGAAACUUCCUGAAGCAGAUAUGGUCAGACCAAGGUAAGUAUAAUUUUUUGUGUGUUCAAUUACCAUAUUGUUUAAAGUAAAAUGGUAUUUGUUUUCAAAACAUCAAAACAUCUUUUUUGAAAGAUCAUAACUUGGGUUUUCUUAAAAUUUACAUCCAAGGCCCAGUUAUGGCAGUAUUGUUCCAGGAUGGUCAGGUUAUGUUGAAGACCAUCACUGGUUGGGGACAACAGAAUCAGGUCAUCUGCAUAGAGCAAAUAUCUAAUCUCUGUGUCAAAGAGUGCGAAGCCUGGAGCUGUUGAGCAGUUCAACUGGUCUGCAAGUUCAUUUAUAUACAGGUUGAAUAAUGUGGGACUUAAAUAGCAUCCUUGUUUUACACCGCGUCCUUGAGUAAAAUAUUCUGUUCUUUGAUUGUGAAUUUUCACAGCACAUUUGUUGUGUUUGUACAUGCAUUUAAUGACAUCAUAUGUUUUACAAACUAGUCCACUUUAAAGGAUUUUGUAGAGAAGUCCUUCAUGCCAAAUGGAAUCAAAAGCUUUUUUGAAAUCGAUGAAACAAGCAAAUAUUUUCCCUCCCUUUUUUGGUGGACAUGUUUAUUAAUUAAGGUGUGUAAGGUAUAUAUAUGAUCAGAGGUUCGGUAAUUUGGCCAAUUGACAUUUACUAAGUAUGUCUUUGUCUUGAAUAAAGGCUAGUAUCCUGGAAUUCAGGAUACUACAAAAUAUUUUCCCAAGGUUGCUGCUCACACAGAUCCCUCUGUAGUUAUUAGGGUCUAAUUUAUUUCCAUUUUUAUAGACUGGGGUGAUCAGCCCCUGGUUCCAGACAUCACACUGUAACAAAAGUCUGUAGUUUUCACAGCAUUAUUACUGUAUAAUGGACAAAUCCUUACCGUAAAACCUGUUUUCAGCAUGUUGCUGUAGUUCUGCAAAGCAUCAUGGUCAAAAUUAAAUUCUACAGCAAAUAAUUUCUUCCUGCGGAUCAGACUACAGUAAUUUCUAGCGGGAACAGGACGGGUGUCACAAAGGCAAAGCUGGUAAGUUAACUGCACACACUUCACAAUUUAAAUUUUAGUGGAAGAGAAAAAGCAGCCUGUGUUCACUUAACUGUAGACUAGCUACGCCUGCCCUGAUAGGCUAUUUUACCCUUUGACUCAUUGCCAAUGACAUUGGUAGCUACAAGCUCGCUUAGUACUGUCUCUGGGGUAAGAGAAUUCGCCUGAGAGAAGCUAGACUAGACUUAACAAAUUAACGUUUAGCUUGGUGAGUUUGAUUAGUAACGUUAGUAACAUUAAUGUUUGAAUUGUGUAACGUGUGGUGUGGUGUGCAACGUUAGCUGACAGCUAAAUUUGUUAGCUUAUUCGGUUGGAGCUAACUGUCACUGCCCGAAGUUACAUGAACUUAGCAAGUGAACUGAAUUUUGUCCGAAAGUGCGCGAACAGGCCCUACGGUAAGUGACGGAAUGAAGUUUGUCCAGGUUGCGUUGCCAAACAAGACGGCGGCUGCGGUACCGCAAAUCGGGCAGCUUAGCUAAGUUAGCUAGCUAACGGUAACGUCAGUCGUGUUGUGCCCUAAAGCGGCGCUUUGUUCUUUUCUGAAGGACAUGGUUGUCUAACGGUUGUUGUCCAUUUUAGGAAGGACCACUAUCACCUUCUGGAAACCCCGUUUGUCUUUGCUGGCGUCGGAAAACCCUUGCUAACGUUAGUUAGCAUCACCGCAUUGAAGAGAUUCUUCGUCAGGAUAAAUCUGGAACACAGCAAGUGUGCGGCAAAGAUGCAGGUGAGCCGAAGGACAGGAAGGACGGUCCAGAGGAAGAACGAGUCCCUCAACCCACACGUCGCUUCCUUCAUAAGGGACUUCAUCGAUUAUGAUUGAAAGAACUGAUACCAGGAAGAAGACUUACACCCACGCGAACAAGUGAGAGACCAGCCCACUACCCUGAUGUGUACGCACAAGAAAUGCUGGCUAUGAUCAGAGCUACCUGAACAGGCAUGUUUUUCUUUUUUUAAAAAAUCUUUUUCUUACGUAUUUGGCUCUUUUUUACUUGUCUCUUUUGGUUUUAAACAAAGAUUAUUUUAUCUGUGUCCUUAAUAUCCCCUGAUAGAGGAGUUCCAAGAAGUUUGCACAAUGUUAUGUCCCAAAUGUUCAGUGGACUUUGUGAAGAAUUAUCAAAGCUUGAAAUUCCAGAUGAAAAAGUUUCUAAUGUUAUUGAUGGAUUGUCAAAAGAAAACUUGAAAAUGUAUAAUGAUGGUGUGUUCAGAUCAGAUUCAGCCUGGAAGACAUAUUGUGUUCACGUUUCAUUCAUUGUAUUGUUUGUAAUCUUUGGCAUUAACAAGAAUAAAUGCA